rnacentral:tRNA from 1 species
CGGGGGCGUAGCGAAGCUGGUUUAUCGCGCUGGCCUGUCACGCCGGAGAUCGCGGGUUCGAGCCCCGUCGCUCCCGAAGA